GGGAGCCAUCUUUGUUUUCAUGAUUGGGAAUUGGCCCUUUUUGGUAUGGCACGCAAACCUUCAUUGGCAAAACAUUUUGUCCAAGGCACAAAGAGUGUCAACCAGUCAGACACCCCAGAGCUCCCAGGGAUUAAACCACCAACCAAAGUGUACACAUGGAGCAACCCAUGGCUCUAGCCACAUAUGUAGCAGAGGAUGCCUUUGUCUAUCAUCAAUGGGAGGAGAGGCUCUUCGUUCUGUGAAGUUGAGGGACAUCUUGGUUGUUUCCAGUUUCUGACCACUAUGAAUAAAGCUACUGUGAACAGAGUUGAGGAAGAGUCCUUCUAUAAUGGUGGAGCAUCUUUGGGGU